AUUGAACGCUAGCGGGAUGCCUUACACAUGCAAGUCGAACGGAGUGGCGAACGGGUGAGUAAUGUAUAGGAACGUGCCCAGUAGCGGGGGAUAACUACGCGAAAGCGUAGCUAAUACCGCAUACUAUUGGAUCAGCCGAUGUCGGAUUAGCUAGUUGGUGGGGUAACGGCUUACCAAGGCGACGAUCCGUAACUGGUUUGAGAGGAUGACCAGCCACACUGGUACUGUGACACGGCCCAGACUCCUACGGGAGGCAGCAGUGGGGAAUUUUGGACAAUGGGGGAAACCCUGAUCCAGCCAUCCCGCGUGUGCGAUGAAGGUCUUCGGGUUGUAAAGCACUUUUAGCAGGAAAGCGUUACCUGCAGAAUAAGCACCGGCUAACUUCGUGCCAGCAGCCGCGGUAAUAC
rnacentral:rRNA from 1 species